UCCGCUUUACAGCGGCAGUUUGUUCCGAGUCCCCGACUUUACUCGCUGGUAACAGAACAUGAGGGUUGCGCUCGUUGCGGGACUUAAGCCAACACCUCACGGCACGAGCUGACGACAGCCAUGCAGCACCUGUGCUAGCCCCUUACGGACACGGGCUUUCACCCGCUUUAACUAGCAUGUCAAACCCAGGUAAGGUUCUUCGCGUUGCAUCGAAUUAAGCCACAUGCUCCGCCGCUUGUGCGGGUCCCCGUCAAUUCCUUUGAGUUUUAGCCUUGCGGCCGUACUCCCCAGGCGGAGUGCUUAAUGCGUUAGCUGCGGCACAGAGAGGGUUGAAGGCCUCCCCACACCUAGCACUCAACGUUUAUGGCUGGGACUAC
rnacentral:misc_RNA from 1 species